AACGAACGACUGGCGGCAUGCCUAACACAUGCAAGUCGAACGGGGAUCCUAGCUUGCUAGGUGAGAGUGGCGGACGGGUGAGUAACACGUGGGAAUCUGCCUUUUGGUUCGGGAUAACCGCGGGAAACUGCGGCUAAUACCGAAUGCCCUCGAGAGAGGAAAGAUUUAUCGCCAGAAGAGGAGCCCGCGUCCGAUUAGGUAGUUGGUGGGGUAAAGCCUACCAAGCCGACGAUCGGUAGCUGGUCUGAGAGGAUGAUCAGCCACACUGGGACUGAGAUACGGCCCAGACUCCUACGGGAGGCAGCAGUGGGGAAUAUUGGACAAU
rnacentral:rRNA from 1 species